UUCCCGUUGGCAGUCCUGGCAGCGCGAGCCCGGAAGCGGACGGGGGCGGUGGCGGAGGCGCCUCCGGCCGGCCGGGGUUGCAGCUCCGUCCUCCCCACUCGUGGCUCCCCGCGUACCGUGGCGUGGACAAAGAGAUGCAGUCCCCGCCCCCAGACCCGCUGGGCGACUGCCUGCGCAACUGGGAGGAUCUGCAGCAGGACUUCCAAGGUAUUCAGGAAACACACCGCCUGUACCGCCUGAAGCUAGAGGAACUGACCAAACUCCAGGACAACUGUACGAACUCCAUCACUCGCCAGAAGAAAAAGCUCCAGGAGCUGGCCUUGGUGCUGAAAAAAUGCAGACCCUCUCUCCCGUCCGAGUCUGCGGAGGCCGCACAGGACCUGGAAAACCAGAUGAAGGAGCGCCAAGGCCUCUUCUUUGACAUGGAAGCCUAUUUGCCUAAGAAGAACGGGUUGUACCUGAGUCUGGUUCUGGGGAAUGUCAACGUGACACUUCUGAGCAAGCAGGCCAAGUUUGCGUACAAAGAUGAGUAUGAGAAAUUCAAGCUCUACCUCACCAUCAUUCUCAUUGUCCUCUCCUUCUCCUGCCGCUUCCUGCUCAACUCCAGGGUGACAGAUGCUGCCUUCAACUUCCUGCUGGUAUGGUAUUACUGCACACUGACCAUCCGAGAGAGCAUCCUCAUCAAUAACGGUUCCAGGAUCAAAGGCUGGUGGGUUUUCCAUCAUUACGUGUCCACAUUCCUGUCGGGAGUCAUGCUAACCUGGCCAGAUGGUCUCAUGUACCAGAAGUUCCGGAACCAGUUUCUGUCUUUCUCCAUGUACCAGAGCUUUGUGCAGUUUCUGCAGUAUUACUAUCAGAGCGGGUGUCUGUACCGCCUGCGCGCCCUGGGUGAACGACACACUAUGGAUCUCACCGUAGCCUGCUCACCACCUCAGCUUUUUCCCACCCCCUACAGAGGGCUUCCAGUCCUGGAUGUGGAGAGGCCUUACCUUCCUGCUUCCUUUUCUCUUCUUUGGACAUUUCUGGCAGCUCUUUAAUGCACUGACAUUGUUCAACUUGGCCAGGGACCCUGAGUGCAAGGAGUGGCAGGUGCUCAUGUGCGGCUUCCCCUUUCUUCUCCUCUUCCUUGGCAACUUUUUCACGACCCUCCGGGUGGUACACCAGAAGUUCCACAGCCAGCAGCAAGGGAGCAAGAAGGAUUAAGCUAGAUGUGAUGGCCAGCCCCAAAGGGGCUUCGCCCUGUGUGCCAGGUGGGGUGGCAGGUUGGUGCACCCCGGUGUGUAUGGGGGUUCCCUUCUGUGCCCCCUGGGCUUCGUGGGCUCUGUGGGCCCUGAGGAAGGCUUGGGCUCAGAGCCCAGCUUGUAGGAUGUGGGCUCUGGGCCUCAAUAAAGGAAGAGAGGCAUG